rnacentral:tRNA from 1 species
GGGAGAUUUCCCGAGUGGCCAAAGGGGGCAGACUGUAAAUCUGUUGGCAACGCCUUCGGUGGUUCGAAUCCACCAUCUCCCACCA